UACGGAGGAUCCGAGCGUUAUCCGGAUUUAUUGGGUUUAAAGGGUGCGUAGGUGGAUUGAUAAGUCAGUGGUGAAAGUUUGCAGCUUAACUGUAAAAUUGCCGUUGAAACUGUCGGUCUUGAGUGCAAAUGAGGUAGGCGGAAUGCGUCGUGUAGCGGUGAAAUGCUUAGAUAUGACGCAGAACUCCGAUUGCGAAGGCAGCUUACUGGGAUGCAACUGACACUGAGGCACGAAAGCGUGGGUAUCAAACAGGAUUAGAUACCCUGGUAGUCCACGCAGUAAACGAUGAAUACUAGCUGUCUGCGAUAUACAGUAGGCGGCACAGCGAAAGCGUUAAGUAUUCCACCUGGGGAGUACGUUCGCAAGAAUGAA
rnacentral:rRNA from 1 species